rnacentral:rRNA from 1 species
UUCUUGAAAAUAAAAAGAUUUGGCGGUAUUUUAGUCUUUUCAGAGGAACCUGUCCUGUAAUUGAUGGUCCACGAUUUCUAUUACUUGCUUUAUAUUAGUUUGUAUAUCGCCGUAGGUUGAAUUUUUUGAAAGAAGUAAAACGUUCAUGAUUUCUUUAGUUAAGAAAGAAAAUCAGGUCAAGAUAUAGCUUAUAGGUAAGGUGAGAUGGGUUACAAUAAAUUUAUUUAUACGGAUUGAUAAUUUAAAAUUAUUAAGAAGGAGGAUUUGAAAGUAAUUAUAAUAAAUUAAUUAUAAUGACUAGAGCUCUAAAAUAUGCACAUAUCGCCCGUCGCUUUCGCUCUAAGGUGAAAUAAGUCGUAACAUAGUAGGCGUACUGGAAAGUGUGCCUGGAACGGCGGAUUAAAGCUUUAAAAAGCAUUUUAGUUACAUUAAAAAGUUUAUUGUAGAACCAAUAUAAUUCGAUUUUAUAAAAUUAUUAUUAGUAAAUAGCUUAUAUUUUUUAUUAAAAUAAAUAUAUUAUAUUUUUAUUAUUUAUUGAGAAAAAAUUUUUAUAGAUUUAAUUAUAGGGAAUUAGUAUUGUGAAAGAAUUUUUUAAAAAGUUUAAUAGAAAAAUUAAUUUUUUGUACCUGGGUAUCAGGGA